GCCUGUGAUCGAUAACAAAGAAGGGAGAGAGAGAGAGAGAGAUAUCGAUUAUUAUUGGACAGGGUAACAGGCAACAGCAAUAAAUAGUUUUGUUUAUGUUUCUUCUUCUGCUUCUUGGCUGGACUGGGGCAUGCAACAUGCGUUGCACGGUCGAGUGCUUACCUUCUCGGCGCGGGUGUUGGCAUCGCGUGCCUCCUGCUCGCAAACGAGAGCGCGCUCCAAUGCGCUAUCCUUGUCGACUUUCAUCGCUUGCAUCUUCUUCUUGAUGGCAUCCAUGGUGGCUGGCUUUUAUUUGUCUCUACUGCGCUCGAAAGAAA